rnacentral:rRNA from 1 species
GGGAAAAGAGCAAUCUGCUAAUAGAUGGGCUUGCGUCUGAUUAGCUAGUUGGUGUGGUAAAGGCAUACCAAGGCAACGAUCGGUAGCCGGACUGAGAGGUUGAUCGGCCACAUUGGGACUGAGACACGGCCCAGACUCCUACGGGAGGCAGCAGUGAGGGAUAUUCGGCAAUGGGGGAAACCCUGACCGAGCAACGCCGCGUGAGGGAAGACGGUUUUCGGAUUGUAAACCUCUGUCCUCUGUGAAGAUAGUGACGGUAGCAGAGGAGGAAGCUCCGGCUAACUAC